rnacentral:rRNA from 1 species
GUGGGGAAUAUUGGACAAUGGGCGAAAGCCUGAUCCAGCAAUGCCGCGUGAGUGAUGAAGGCCUUAGGGUUGUAAAGCUCUUUUACCCGGGAUGAUAAUGACAGUACCGGGAGAAUAAGCUCCGGCUAACUCCGUGCCAGCAGCCGCGGUAAUACGGAGGGAGCUAGCGUUGUUCGGAAUUACUGGGCGUAAAGCGCACGUAGGCGGCUUUGUAAGUUAGAGGUGAAAGCCUGGAGCUUAACUCCAGAACUGCCUGUAAGACUGCAUCGCUUGAAUCCAGGAGAGGUGAGUGGAAUUCCGAGUGUAGAGGUGAAAUUCGUAGAUAUUCGGAAGAACACCAGUGGCGAAGGCGGCUCACUGGACUGGUAUUGACGCUGAGGUGCGAAAGCGUGGGGAGCAAACAGGAUUAGAUACCCUAGUAGUCC